GGACGAACGCUGGCGGCGUGCCUACUACAUGCAAGUCGAGCGAAGUUUUUCUGGUGCUUGCACCGGAAAAACUUAGCGGCGAACGGGUGAGUAACACGUAAAGAACCUGCCUCAUAGACUGGGACAACUAUUGGAAACGAUAGCUAAUACCGGAUAACAGCAUUAACUGCAUGGUUGAUGUUUAAAAGUUGGUUUUGCUAACACUAUGAGAUGGCUUUGCGGUGCAUUAGCUAGUUGGUGGGGUAAAGGCCUACCAAGGCGACGAUGCAUAGCCGACCUGAGAGGGUGAUCGGCCACACUGGGACUGAGACACGGCCCAGACUCCUACGGGAGGCAGCAGUAGGGAAUCUUCCGCAAUGGGCGAAAGCCUGACGGAGCAACGCCGCGUGAGUGAAGAAGGAUUUCGGUUCGUAAAGCUCUGUUGUUAGGGAAGAAUGAUUGUGUAGUAACUAUACACAGUAGAGACGGUACCUAACCAGAAAGCCACGGCUAACUACGUG
rnacentral:rRNA from 1 species